rnacentral:rRNA from 1 species
UACGUAGGGACCAAGCGUUGUUCGGAUUUACUGGGCGUAAAGGGCGCGUAGGCGGCAAUUCAAGUCACUUGUGAAAUCUCUGAGCUUAACUCAGAACGGUCAAGUGAUACUGCUUUGCUAGAGUGCAGAAGGGGCAACCGGAAUUCUUGGUGUAGCGGUGAAAUGCGUAGAUAUCAAGAGGAACACCGGAGGUGAAGACGGGUUGCUGGGCCGAUACUGACGCUGAGGAGCGAAAGCGUGGGGAGCGAACAGG